CACCUGAAUGGACGUUUCUGAUGAUUCCAGUGGGACAACAACAUUUAUCACGGGGUUCGUCACUGAAUCCAGUGUUGUGAGAUGUAAAGCCCCCUGAUAUGUGUCCGGCUGUGCCGUGUUGUUGGUGGAGUGGGCAGCGUGGUGUUUGUCUCGAUUCGGGUCACAACACCAGAAUUGCCAGCGGGGUCCACACACAGUGUAUUAGUCAACAGAAAUCCUCUCGUCCCUGCAGUCUUUGUCCCCCGGUAAACUCAACACCCUGACACUGUGGACCAUAGAUACCCCUUCCUCUCAGAGUCAGGGAAUCAUUCAGAUUUGUUUGGACGGAUUUGAUGUAGAGUUCGGGGUGUCACAGUGAAAGGGCCGGACGGCCGAACUCUCUCCGUUGACCAAACAUCCUUCCAGACCUGCGGUGAGAGAUUUAUUGGAAGAAAAGCCCACAACUGGAAGCAAACCACGACUGAAGAUGAGGGAACAGCAGCAAGUGAACCAGCCCGAGGACUGAGAGCACCGACUGGAGAGAAACCCUUCUGACACAGGGUUUCCAUUGAUUCAGUCAGGAGCAAGUUUGUUACUGUUGUUGAGCCACUUCCUCCGUUUCCACGGUAACAAACCACGAGAACUGCAAGAAGUGUUGCACAAUUUCAUCGUUCUGUGUUCACUUCCUCUUUGUGUAGAGUCAGUAACCCCUGGAGCAACUUCAACGGAAUGAUAGUGGGAGGAAAGGAUUCUGUAAGCAUUAGCAGUGUGGAGUGAACAUAGAAAUAUAGAAAACCUGCAAGCCCUUGGCUAACCCUGCUGUCCGAAACAUGUACUUACUUCAAAAAUUUCCCAGGGUUAGCCAUAGUCCGCUAUUUUUCUAAGAUCCAAGAGCCUCUGAAAGGACCCUACUCUGUCCGCCUCCACCACCGUCGCCGGCAGCCCAUUCCACGUACACACCACUGCCUGCGUAAAAGAAAAAAAAACGUACCCCUGACAUUGCCUUGGUACCUACUUCCGAGCACCUUAAAGCUGUGCCCUCUCGUGUUGGUCAUUUCAGCCGUGAGAAAACGCCCCUGCCUACUCGCACGAUCAUUGCCUCUCAUCAUCUUAUACACCUCUAUCAGGUCACGUCUCAUCCUCCAUCUCUCCGAGGAGAAAUGGACAAGUUCACUCAACCUAUUCUCAGAAGGCUUGCUCUCCAAUCCAGGCAACAUUCUUAUAUAUCCCCUCUGCCCCCUUUCUAUAGUGUGCACAUCGUUCGGUUAGCGAGGUGACCGGAACGGAGCACAAUACUCCAUGAUGGGUCUUACCCGGGUCCUAUAUAGCUGUACCAUUACCACUCAGCUCUUAAACUCAGUCCCACGGUUAAUGAAGGCUAAUGCACUGUAAGCCUUCCGUAGCACUCAGCCAACCUACG